CCUACGGGAGGCUGCAGUCGGGAAUAUUGCUCAAUGGGGGAAACCCUGAUGCUGCAACGCCGCGUGGGGGAUGAAGGUUUUCGGAUUUUAAAAUCCUUUUGUUAGAGAAGAUAAUGACGUUCUCUAACGCAUAAGAACCGGCUAACUCCGUGCCAGCAGCCGCGGUAAUACGGAGGGUGCAAGCGUUACUCGGAAUCACGGGGAGUAAAGAGCGCGUAGGCGGGAUAGCAAGUCAGAUGUGAAAUCCGAUGGCUUAACCAGAGAACGGCAUUUGACACGGUUAGUCUAGAGUAUGGGAGAGGUAGGUGGAAUUCUUGGUGUAGGGGGAAAAUCCGUAGAGAUCAAGAGGAAUACUCAGUGCGAAGGCGACCUGCUAGAACAUAACUGACGCUGAUGCGCGAAAGCGUGGGGAGCAAACAGGAUUAGAUACCCGAGUAGUC
rnacentral:rRNA from 1 species